rnacentral:rRNA from 1 species
AACGAACGCUGGCGGCAUGCCUAACACAUGCAAGUCGAACGAGACCUCCGGAUCUAGUUGCGCACGGGUGCGGAACGCGUGGGAACCUGCCUUUAGGCUCGGAAUAACUCAGUGUAAUUUGAGCUAAUGCCGGAUGAUGUCUUCGGACAAAAGAUUUAUCGCCUUUGGAUGGGCACGCGUUGUCUUAGCCGGUUGGUGGGGUAAAGGCCGACCAAGGCGACGAUCCAUAGCUGGUCUGAGAGGAUGCUCAGCCACACUUGGACUGGGACACGGCCCAGACUCCUACGCGAUGCGGCAGUGGGUAAUAUUGGACGAUCGGCGAGGGCCUGAUGCAGCACUGCCGCGUGAGUCAUGAUGGCCUUAGGGUAGUGAAGCUCUUUUACCCGACGUGAUAAUGACGGUAUCGGAAGAAUAAGCUCCGGCUAACUCCGUG